GAUGAACGCUGGCGGCGUGCCUAAUACAUGCAAGUCGAGCGAACAGACGAGGAGCUUGCUCCUCUUACGUUAGCGGCGGACGGGUGAGUAACACGUGGAUAACCUACCUAUGAGACUGGGAUAACUUCGGGAAACCGGAGCUAAUACCGGAUUAUAUAUUGAAGCGCAUAGUUCAAUAGUGAAAGACGGUUUUGCCGUUACUUAUACAUGGAUCCGCGCCGCAUUAGCUAGUUGGUAAGGUAACGGCUUACCAAGGCAACGAUGCGUAGCCGACCUGAGAGGGUGAUCGGCCACACUGGAACUGAGACACGGUCCAGACUCCUACGGGAGGCAGCAGUAGGGAAUCUUCGACAAUGGGCGAAAGCCUGACGGAGCCACGCCGCGUGAGUGAUGAAGGUCUUCGGAUCGUAAAACUCUGUUAUUAGGGAAGAACAGAUGUGUAAGUAACUAUGCACGUCUUGACGGUACCUAAUGAAAAAGCCACGGCUAACUACGUG
rnacentral:rRNA from 1 species